UUUGAAGAUGUUGAUAUGAUCCUCUUUUGUGUUUCUUUGACUGACUACGAUGAAUAUUUUGAAGAUAGCAAAGGAUUUCUCACCAACAAGAUGUUGGCAAGCAGGCAGCUCUUCCAAAACAUUGUCAUUCAUCCAACCUUCAAUCAAAAGAACUUCCUUCUGAUACUCAACAAGUAUGAUAUGUUAGAGGAAAAGAUUGAAGAAGUUCCUCUCUCUCGAUGUGAAUGGUUUGAAGACUUCAAUCCGGUGAUCAGCCAUAAUCACCAUAGCACUAGUAGAAGAACUAGCAACACACCACUGGCUGUAUCUGCCGCCCACUACAUUGCAGUGAAGUUCAAGAGGUUGUUCGAUUCUCUAACUGGUCGUAAGUUGUUUGUUUCAGUAGUUACUGCCUUGGAGCCUGAGACUGUAGAUGAAGCUCUCAAUUAUGCAAAGGAGAUUCUGAAGUGGGAGGAAGAGGAACCUGUCUACACUAACAUUGAGUCAACUGAUUACGAGGCAAGCUCAUCAUCAUGAAUUUUCUUCUCGGGUUGAAUUUUGCUCAUCCAUCCUCAGUUAUACAAAACAUUGGAAAGGAUUUUUUUUUUUUUCCAAAGAUAGAAGAACAUCAGAAGAAAAUACAUUGGGUCAAGCACAUGCUUGUGUAUACUAAUCCAGAUUUGCAUAGAAGUUAGGGAGAUUAAGAUUCUUUCCUAGAGCUGUAAAGAACUGUCGUUUUGCCAUUUCAAUUAAGAUUUAGUAAAUAAAAGAAGAAUAAUUACUUUGCACAAUGAGACACAUAGCUGACAAGCUUGCAUAAAUACAAACGGACAUGGAAUUCAUUUUCGUUGCCUGAAUUUAACUGACGGAUUACAUAUCUUGUCUACAAACAAACAUGAAAAAAAAAGACCAUUUUAACUACAUAAGGCUUCACAGAAAGAUUGAAUACACAUCAACAAGGCACAAACCGGUCCAUAAGCAAACAGAUAGUAGUCUCUGAUAUUGUACUUUCAUCUUCAACCUCUUUGGUGCUCUCCUUUUUAUCUUCUUUCCCACGUACUUGUUCUUUCUUAGCUCUUAACACAAACGGCUUCCUGCCUUUAACCUUCUCUCCCAGCUUCGCAAGCUCACCCAUGCAUAUCUCCACAACUGCCGACAUUUUCACUGCGAUAACCAAGAACCCACUUGGAAUUUUCAGCUGGCUCUUUCUUUCUUGUUGAUCUUUCUUUAUUGAAUAUGAAACGAGAAGCAACGUGGGGUUUAUAAAGAAGAGAAGGCGAGCAAAAGUCCACGUAGAAUUUGGCGGGUUCUGGAGAACCGCUGGUUUUGACUGUUGGGGAGAAAAAUCAAUGUGUGGAUGCCCACAGAGAUGCCGUUUUGAGAACCUUCUGUUCCAUUUAUCUUUCUUUGGAUUGGAUAUUCCCGCGUUUGCAAGAAAAUAUCCUUUUGCGUGACAGUUCUAAUGUGUGACUACUCACACAUUAAUUAUCAAUGCUCAAUUUCAAAACUAACCUCUAGUUCUUAACUUGGAGUAUUUGAUCAAACGGUGAGCUACUAAUAUCUUACAUUGUUUUAUUAAUUUAGAGUUACAUCUUAAAACAUUUUAUUAGCACAGACUGACAGACACGUAACAAUUUUAUAUUACUAUAUAAAAUCUAAUAAAAUUAGACUCAUUAAUAUAAUAUUUGAUUAUAUAAUAAAAGAGUCUAUAAAAAUUUAUUCUGAUCAAAUAAAUAAAUAAUAAUUAGAGUGAUUUAUCCCGUGAUAUGGUUUUAAACCGCACCAAUUUUUUUUUUAAAAACUUAAAAAGAUCUUUUUAGGGUAGAGUUGUAUAGCAAGAUGCUAAUUUUAUUUUUAAAUUUAUAUUUUAUCAAUUAAAUUAGAGGUUUUUAGGAAAUAAAAUUUAAAAAGGGUAUUGUAAGGAUUUUAGAGGGGUGUUAGAAGCCCCACUCUUUUGUACUAGUGCUACGGACAUAUGGUUACAAUUGAUAUUGGCCUAUGGGUAAAGCCCUGUAUUUUAUGUUAUCCACUAUAAUUCUAGGUGAACUUAUUGAGGCUAAUCUUGAAUUAGGGGUGGACAAAUACUUCAAUCCAAUUGAAUCUGAAUCGCAAUGCAGCGAUGCACAUACAAGCACAAAGUUUUGAUCCAAUCCAAUUUAUAUUCGGAUUUAAUCGGAUUGUAUUAUAAGUUUGGGUUGAGUUCAGAUUACUUUUUUUUUUCCAAUUUGUUUAAUCCAAAAUCCGAUCGCGUUAAUUCGAACCUGAAUUUUCCUACCCCUACAACUAUCAUUAGAGGAUAUAAUUAAAAAGAAAUGAGUUAUACGAUUAUUUGCAAUAAUUCAUGUCUAAAGCUAUGAAGCAAAUACCCAAACAUCAUCAGCAAAUAAUUAAUGUCUUAUUUAUAAGUUUGAAAACGAAAUAACCCCAUCGAUAGCGCUUCCACAUUGUAAAUCGCACUUAUUCCAUUACAAACAAACAAUUAAGUACCAUACCAUAACCUAAAUUUCUAUCUUAAAAAUGGUUCCUUAUCUAAAUAUAAUAAUUAGUCAUUGAAAAAUCCAUAAAAUUUAAUAUACAAUCACCGACCUUAUGAUUGAUGUAAAAUGCAUUUUUUUUUCAAUUUUAUUUUGUCAUACACCCACCACUUGUUUUCUAUAUUAACAUAAAUUCCAAUUUUUUCAUUUAUUAAUAUUUUAAUGCGAUCACAAUACUCGUUCCAAGAUGUAUUAUAUAGGAUUAAUAUUAUGACAUAGUCUCAAGUCUGACCUAUCUCAACUUAGGUAGUUGAACGUACUUGACCAAAUUACCCUUUCUUAGCGCCAAAAUUCAGUUAGGUACAAUCAAUCGCAGCAGCAAGUACUUUGAAAUUUUGAAACGAAGCACACAUGUUUCGUUCUGGCGUGACUGAUCAGUUCCUCGCAGCUUCCUCUUCAACCUCAAAGCGUUGACGAAGGAAAAAUGAAAAGAGUCUUCACUGGUGAGAGCACAACUCUACAGGAAAGAAUUCACAUUUUCUUUGUUCUUUAUUAUUUCUUUCAACUGUCACUUUGCCUUCAUGAUUUUCAUUUUCUUCAUUCUCUUCGUGGCAGCCUCCCUUUUCUCCAAUUCCUAAUAAACGCCAAAAAUGCUUCGUUUAGUUCUCUUAUUGAUUGAUUUUGCUUUCUGGGUUUGUGAGAUAUGUUGAUUUUGCUUCAUGGGUUGUUUUUUCAAUUAGUUAUAUUUUGUGGGUUUUUGAAAUAUUUGGUCAUGCUUCAUCUGUGUAUUUGAUGAUCAUUUCGUUUUGCUUCAUGCUUCUUAAAUCAUUGAAAUGAUUGAUUAAGUUUCUUGUAUGCUUUGAUGGAUUGUUGAAGUAAUUGAUUUUGCUCCGUGGGUAUGUUGAACUAUUGGCUUUUAUUUAUUGGGGGUUUUUUAAUUAGUGUUUUAAUUGGUUUAUUGGUUUAUUGAAAUAGGGUUACUGGUUUUGAGUUGAUUUUGAGUAGGGUUUACAAAAUGGCUCAGCUUUUGAGGAAAAUUCUGCCUGUUGUGCCAUUGAGAUCAAAACCUUAUGAUGAUGAUGAGGAUGAUAAAAAUAACACUGAAUAUUCAUUUGCCGUUGAGUAUUCUGGCCCUCUGAUCAGUUCUGAUAUUCCCCUGGCAUCGCCAAUAGUUGUUGACCAAAUCCCCAUUGCUGUUACGGUUGCCUCUCCUUCCUUGUUAAGAGAUAGGUCGUUGCCAGUAAUCCAACCAACUGUAAAAAGUACUCCAGGAGGCAGAAGACGGUUGAAGGAGCCUGAAUUAAGUUCUGAACCUACAUUACGUAGUAAUUCAUUGACCAAUUCCGGAGCGUCCUUGACUGGUCCUAAUGUGUCCUGUGAAUCACAAAGUUUGGUAGAUAGCUCAGGUGAUGUUGGAUGUGCAACUGGUGAUUACUCCCAGCCCAAGUCAGUUAAUGGAGUUAGAAGUUCCAGUAAAUUCAGAAGUCCUGAUGCUCAAGAUAAUUCAUCUGACGUAAUAAGAAGUUCUGCUAAACUGAAUAGUCUUGAUCGUCAUGAUAAUUUGUGUGUAAUUCUAAAAUUAUCUGAUGGUAGUGAAGAAGGUGCAGAUGCAGGCCUGCAAAAUGGUAUAAAUCCUGCCAAUUUGGAUUUAACAGAUUCUGGUUUAAGUUCACAUGAACAUACAUCAAAGUUUUUUUCUUGCAAUGAGGGAUAUUUUGGUGAUGAAGAAACUCCUUCCAAUGUUAGAGGAUCAUCAGUUGUUAUUUCUGAUGAUCCUGAGACAAGUGAUAUAGUCCAUGAAGAAUCUGAUAACUCUGAAAGCGUCCAUCUGAGAGCAAAGGCUGAAAGAUAUGGGAAGAAAAGUUCAUGCUGUCAAUGCUUGCAGGAAUAUCAAUCUCUUGAAAUGGAGGUUUGCAUAGUUUGUGAUACAAUGUAUUGUUGUAACUGUGUGGUGAGAGCAAUGGGGUCAACACCUGAAGGAAGAAAAUGUGUUUCCUGUGUUGAUUCCAGGUUAGAUGUGUGCAUGCCCAUGUCAUCUAAUGGAAUAGGAAGUUCUGGUAAAUCAAAUAGCCUCAACUGUUACGAUAAUAUGCCUGCAAACAAUGAAUUGCCCGAUAAUAGGAACGAUGGCGCUAAUGCAGGAUUUCAUGAUUAUAUGAAUCCUGCUGACUCAGAGUCAACGGAGUCAGAUGUAAGUUCAUACAGUGUUUCAUCUGAGGUGUUUUCUUGCAAAGAGGAGGGUUUUAAUAACGAAGAAACUCCUGGCCAUGUUAGAAGACCAUCAGUCGUUAGUUUCCGUGACCCUGACCCAAGUGAUACAGUUUAUGAAGAAUCUGAUUAUUCUGAGGUUGAAAGCAUCCAUGAGAGGCCAAAGGCUGUAAGGCCAGGGAAGAAAGGUUCGUGCUAUCGAUGCUUGAAAGGAAAUCGGUUCACUGAGAAGGAUUUCUGUAUUGUUUGUGGUGCAAAAUAUUGUUCAAACUGUGUGCUGAGGGCAAUGGGAUCAAUGCCAGAAGGAAGAAAAUGUGUUACUUGCAUUGGUUUCAGCGUGGAUGAUUCUAAGAGACGAAACCUGGGGAAGUGUUCUCAGAUGCUCAAAAGAUUGCUGACUGAGACGGAAGUUAAACAAAUAAUGAGAUCUGAAAUAUUGUGCAAAGCAAAUCAGUUGCCACCAGAGCGUGUUUUUGUGAAUGGUGAACAUUUAUCUCAGAAAGAGCUCGUUAUACUGCUUAGCUGCCCAAACCCUCCAAAAAAGCUAAAUCCAGGAACCUAUUGGUAUGAUAAAGUGUUGGGUUUUUGGGGAGAGGUAAACAUCAGAAACUGCUGCUAUUAUUUAAUAUUCUUUUCUUGUUUAUUCUAAUUCCAUUGCACCAUGAUAGAAUUAAUAUUUGAAUUCCAUUGCACCAUGAACAGGAAGGACACCGGCCUUGCCAGAUUAUAAGCCCCCAGCUGAAUGUCGGGGGUCAGAUAAUGAAAAAUGCUAGCAACGGAAAUACAAAUGUCAUGAUCAAUAAUCGGGAGAUUACUAGAAGAGAGCUCUGGAUGCUUAAGGUCAUUUCAGUGGGCAAAUUUAUGUUCAUUUGAAAUUCAGUGUUUCUAAAAAUAAGAUCCAUACUGUUCUGUAUUUCUGUUAAAUGCUGCAGUUAGCAGGAGUGCAAUGUGAAGGACAACAUCACUUUUGGGUGAGCGCAGACGGUUCCUACCUGGAAGAGGGAAUGAGAGAUAUAAAGGGGCGUAUAUGGGACAAGGUAUGUCUGCAUAUGGAUGUGCAUUGGCUUUCUUAGUUAAACUAUUCCUUAAUUUCUGAUUUGUGAUUACCGUGUAUGUACUUUACAGAGUACAAUAAAACUAGUUUGUGCUUUGUUGUCUUUGCCAACCCCUCCUGAUUCUGAGAAUCCUUGUGGCAAUGAAGUGAAUGGCGUUAACCCGUGUGAGCAGCAAAGACUUAUUAAACUUUUUCUUCUUGGUGAACACAAAUCAGGCACGAGUACCAUAUAUAAACAGGUAGGAAUUAUUGGAACCUGUAAGAAACUUUGUCUAAUACACAUGCUAUUAUUAUUCAUAUAUUAUUAAUCUGACUGGUGAACAUUGGAUGGCUUAUAUUUAUCUUAUUAUGCAGCCAGCUUGUGUUGUCGUUUUGCUUCAUGUCUUGUCAUUUCUAGGACUUCAAGAUUUUAAAAGGAAAGAUGUUUUAGAGCAUGUUAGUUGAUUUUUAAAAUUUGUAUUCGAUGUAGUAUACUUAUUCACAAAGAUGUCAGAUUAUGUUAUUUGACAACUAGCUUAAGAUUUCAUUGUUUAACAACAUUCAUCGAAGGUACAAUAAAUUGUCUAAUUGCACUUUGGUACGAAGAGUGUUUUUUAUUGUGCAUAAAAAGCUACAUACAAGGUGGUCUCAUAUCAUCACACUGCCGUUGAUGCUUAAAAUAUAGUAGCGGAAAUCCUUUCUCCUUCUUGGUUACAUGCUGUUUUUUGUGACUUUAUGGGGACAUUAUGCCUUUCUAGAUCACGUUAAGUUUUUGUAUUUGUAAUAAAGCAAAGGCCAUAAGCCUUUGUUAAGGUCUUAAAACUGAAAUUUUGAUUCCAUGGUGAAUUGAACAUCAAGUUUUAUUCUUUGUUUCGGCUGUACUUAAAGACUUUUAUCAUUUUUUUAUUUUGUAUCCCUUUUGUACCUUUUUCUCUUUCUCCCUUUUUAGACAUUGGUGCAAAGGCACAUGAUGACAGAGAUGUUUGUUUCAGGCCAAACUUCUGUUCAAGGUUCCAUUCUCUGAAGAAGAGCGUCAAAAUAUUAAGUUCAUGAUCCAAAGUAAUCUGUACUUCUAUAUUGGUAUUUUGCUUGAGGGCCGUGAGCGAUUUGAAGAAGAAAGCUUGUUUGGGAAGGGAAAAAGACAGGUUAUUGACGAGCCAGGUCCUUCAGGUAACAUAGAGAUUAGAUUUACUUCUCUUUUCCAGUGCUUGUAUGAUUUGCUGUUUAUUGAAUGUUCCAUGAGAUCUUGUUUGGAGCAUGCAUAUGACGCAUAAAAAUGUUUGCCUUUGUUAUCUACUGUUUUGAGUUAUUUCUGGUAGAUAUUGAACAUAUGUAUAUCACUUUUUUCUGGGAAGUCUAGCUUGUCAAAAGUCAAGUUCUUUGUUAUUAUUUUACAUGCAUGGAGUGCAGUUUUACUUUCACUCGAUUUUUUGGACUUCUUAGUGCCUUUAGCGUUAAAAUUAUCAAUUGUGUUGGAUUGAAGUUCAUCACAUCAGCAAGUUGACCCUGAGGGUGGAAGGGACAACUAUGAUGUCCAGUAUUUUGUACAUUUAAUUAUUGAGCAUUUAAUAACUGUGGUCUCAUUGAAAUUUAAUGAUAUUUUUAUUCUGUACCUUCACUAUAAUCUUCUUGCAGACACAAUUCUGGCCUGUGGUUUUGAUUUCAGUAUCUGGUAGAACAUGAAAUUUGGAGAUAAAUCAUUGUCUGCAGCCAAUUAGAACUUUCUUGUGACUAACCUGUGCCAUCAGUAGUAAACCUCAAAUUUCUUUAAAAUGUUCUUUUAACAUGUUUAACUAUUUAAAAUCAUUGGAGUAAAGAGCAUAUUGAAAUAGCAUCACAUAGCUUGUGAACAUAUUUGAUUCUUCUUGGUGGUUGUAAAUUUCAUUUUUUUUUUAAGAAAAAUAAUCAUAUUUCUUUCUUUCCUUAUUUUUGAGGUUUUAUUUUUUUAUUUUUUUAUUUUUUCAGAGUAAAAAAUAUUCUGCAUGAAGAAAGUUACAUUUGUAAUUAGUUUAGCAAUUGGGAGGACUCUGAUUUUAUUCAGGUACAACACUAAUACAGGGCAGAUUGAUGAUAAAAUGAUGUAUUCCAUCGGUCCAAGACUGAAAGCUUUCUCUGGUUGGCUUCUCAAAGUCAUGGCAUCUGGUAAUUUGGAAGCCAUAUUCCCAGCCGCUACCCGUGAAUAUGCACCAUUUAUUGAGGAGUUGUGGAGGGAUGCAGGCUUCCAAGCCACAUACAACCGGAGAAAUGAAUUAGACAUGCUUCCCAGAAAAGCCACCUAUUUCCUAGAACGGGUUAGAUCACUCUCUAUUGUCCUUGUUUGCUGAGUAUUUCAUUAUUUGUAUUUGGUUCAGCUUCAGUAUAUAUCUUUUGUUUUUGGAUCCAUAGAGUCUUGAUUGUUUAUUUCAUUUGCCUCAUGAUUAUCCAGUGAUCUUGAAUUGCAUCCUCUAUUCCAUAGAUAUGUCAUAAUUGUCAAUGUACAUAUGACCUGUACUGUAAUUUAAAAAUUCCAAGUACAUAUUUAAUACUCUUGUAUUUUGGCUUCUUAUUAAUCAUGUGCUUUCUUAUCCCAUGUCAUUUCAGAAAGCACAUUUCAUAAAAGAUAUUUUUUGAAACCAAAAUGAAAGGCAUUCUGAAGUCACACCAUCAGUUCUCUUCUUGUAUUGUUUCUCGAAAGCUUGAACUAGGAAAGAUGAUUGUUUUGACUUGUAGUUCACUGUUUGCUAUUUUUUCAAUAUUAACAUUAGUUUCCCUCUCAGGCUGUUGAGAUUUCAAAGACAGGCUAUGAGCCCUCAGAUAUGGAUAUCUUGUAUGCUGAGGGAAUUACAUCAAGCAAUGGGCUUUCGUCCAUGGUAUUUUCAUUACCGGAGCAGACACAAGAAAACUCCAUAAGUGACUCUUCCAAUCAGAAUGAUCCCUUGCUCAGGUUACUGUCUAAUCUGUGCUUUAAAUUUACGUAUAAGCCAAAAAUGCAUUGCACUUUGCCAGAUUUUUGCUAUUGCUGUUGCUGUCAAUUGCCAUUGUGAGAUUUAGCUACCGAAGGAAAGGACUUCAUGGGUAGUCAUUCUGGCUUGCAGAUUGAAUUUCGGGUAGCUUAACUCAGUUUGAAUGGGGAUAUUGUCAUCAAUGAAUUGAGUCUGCAAUUCUGUUGGAACUGGAAGUUAUUAGCUAAGUUAGUGGCCCCACUUGGCUUGGCAAGACACAAAAAGAAUAAUCAGUUAAUUGCCUUUCAACUUCAAGAAUACUUUAAAUUUACCAGAAUUUCAUACUUGAGUUUUAGCUAUUGAUUUAUUUCUCUUCUUUGGCAUGAAAUGUUUUAGCAAUCAAAUAUGAAUAAUCUUUUACAGCUGCGAUGGAUCUUUGGCAUAAGUUUCUUGAAAGUGGGGAACGAUGUAUGAUUGAUUACAAAUUGUUCAUCUAACUUACCAAUUUUUGCUUUGCACUUGCAGCUAUCAACUCAUUAGAGUGCAUCCAAGAAGCCUCGGGGAGAACUGCAAGUGGCUAGAAAUGUUUGAAGAUGUUGAUAUGAUCCUCUUUUGUGUUUCUUUGACUGACUACGAUGAAUAUUUUGAAGAUAGCAAAGGAUUUCUCACCAACAAGAUGUUGGCUAGCAGGCAGCUCUUCCAAAACAUUGUCAUUCAUCCAACCUUCAAUCAAAAGAACUUCCUUCUGAUACUCAACAAGUAUGAUAUGUUAGGAGAAAAAAUCGAAGAAGUUCCUCUCUCUCGAUGUGAAUGGUUUGAAGACUUCAAUCCGGCGAUUGAAGUUUUUUACCACAGCACUGGU
rnacentral:lncRNA from 1 species